rnacentral:rRNA from 2 species
CCUGUACUUCCGAUAGUAAGUGAUGGAGUGACGGAGAAGGAUAAUUCUACCAAUUAAUGGAUUUUGGGGCAAGGAAAUGAGGGGUCAAUGUAGGCAAAUCCGCAUUGUUUAACCUUGAGUUCUGAUGCAUAGGGAAAGUUUCGACAAUUACCGAAUUGAAUGAUUUCACGCUUCCAAGAAAAGCUUCUAAACGUUAUAAAACUAUAGGAACCCGUACCGAGAACGGACACACGUUCCCAAGAUGAGUAUUCUAAGGCGAGCGAGAAAACCAAUGUUAAGGAACUCUGCAAAUUCACCCCGUAAGUUCGCGAGAAGGGGGGCCAUUCUUUGAAUGGCAACAUUAAAUUGUGAGGGGCAACUGUUUAUCAAAAACACAGCUCUCUGCUAAGUCGCAAGACGAUGUAUAGGGGGUGAAGUCUGCCCAGUGCCCGAAGGUUAAGUGGAGCUGUUAG